AGACUGACAUUAUUAUUAUUGAAGAAAAAACUACUAUCGGAAUCGGCAAAGAGAAUUAUAAUAUAUAAAUCGGAAUCGGAACAAAAAGGGCUCCCGGGAGCACAUGUAUUAAGAAAAAGGAAAUUGGGCAAUCAAAACACCUCCACCAGUGCUUUUAGAUGAAGGUUUUUUUAAAUCACGUCCUCUCCUAUAAACUACGUAGCGGUCAUCAAAUAACUCCGAGUCGGCCACGUUGCUUUGAAGCCAUGUUUCAGUAAUGAAAACGACAUCAUAAUUGUGUACAGAUAUAUUUAGACAAAACUCAGUGGUUUUAGUGUUCAAACCUCUUGAAUUCUGAUAGUAGCAGUUUAGAGUCAUGAAUACAAUAAAUUAACUUUUGUGUA